rnacentral:lncRNA from 10 species
GAGUAUUGGGUUUUAUUCGGAGAAAGGAGGAGAGGAGAGUAGAAUUGGGUAGAAGGUUCAAUUUGUCUGAACUUGGUUGGCCUCACCCUUCACUGCUUGUUAACUACAUGAAAUCAUGAUUUAGCCAUGUCUAAUGUAAUUUGAUUGCUGGGAGGAUGCAAAUUUUCAUGUUUGCUUUUCACCUGAAUGUAUCAAAUUUCACUAUGCUUUAAGCUCAUGCCUGUAAUCCCUGCACUUUGGGAAGCCAAGGUGGGCAGAUUACUUGAGGUUAGGAGUUCGAGACCAGCCUGACCAACAUGGUGAAAUCCCGUCUACUAAAAAUACAAAAAUUAGCCGAGCAUGGUAGUGCAUGCCUGUAAUCCCAGCUACUCAGGAGGCUGAGGCAGGAGAAUGGCUUGAACCUGGGAGGC